AAAGACUUAGUCCUAACCUUACUGUUAAUUCUUGCCAAACAUAUACAUGCAAGUAUCAGCGUCCCAGUGUAAAUGCCCUCGGUGACUUACUAAGACCCGAGGAGCAGGCAUCAGGCACACCCACUAGUCGUAGCCCAAAACGCCUUGCUCAGCCACACCCCCACGGGUACUCAGCAGUAAUUAACAUUAAGCAAUGAGUGUAAACUUGACUUAGUUAUGGCAACAUCUUAGGGCUGGUCAAUCUUGUGCCAGCCACCGCGGUCAUACAAGAAGCCCAAAUUAACCGUAAUACGGCGUAAAGCGUGACACUAUGUUAUCAUCCCAACUAGGAUUAAAAUACAACUGAGCUGUCGCAAGCCCACGAUGCACCUAAAACCGGCCUAAAAACGAUCCUAGCCUUAAUGAUCAAUUAACCGUCACGAAAGCUAGGGUACAAACUGGGAUUAGAUACCCCACUAUGCCUAGCCCUAAAUCCUGAUACUUUUCCCACUAAAGUAUUCGCCCGAGAACUACGAGCACAAACGCUUAAAACUCUAAGGACUUGGCGGUGCCCCAAACCCACCUAGAGGAGCCUGUUCUAUAAUCGAUAACCCACGAUACACCCAACCACCCCUUGCCAAGGCAGCCUACAUACCGCCGUCGCCAGUCCACCUCCCCUGAGAGAGCAACAGUGAACACAAUAGCCCUACCCGCUAACAAGACAGGUCAAGGUAUAGCCCAUGGGGUGGAAGAAAUGGGCUACAUUUUCUAUGAUAGAAAACCACGGAAAGCGGUGUGAAACCACCUCUGGAAGGCGGAUUUAGCAGUAAAGAAGGACGAUAGAGCCACCUUUAAACCGGCCCUGGGGCACGUACACACCGCCCGUCACCCUCCUCAAAGAGCUUAAACUCCUAAUAUACAUAAUACUCCAGCUAGCUAGAGAUGAGGUAAGUCGUAACAAGGUAAGUGUACCGGAAGGUGUACUUAGCAUACC
rnacentral:ncRNA from 1 species